rnacentral:tRNA from 1 species
AAGAGUUUAGUUUACUGGUAAAACAUUUGAUUCCAAAUCAUAGGUAAUAGGUUCAAUUCCUUUAACUCUUG